UUCUCCACCUUAUUUCCGUAUCUCUACGGAGAUCUCUGUUCCUCACUGAAACGGUCCAGAAAGUUUCAAAAAUGCCAGCAACCCUAGAAUCAGAGGACCACCAUAGGAUUAUCACACGGUGUCCCGUGGUGCAGGUGUGAAGCCAUGAUCGAUCAACGAAGAAAGGUUUGUCGAGAGUUCGAUUGAAAUAUUCCUCGUGGUUCUACGAAGGAAUCGUUGUGAGGAUACACUUUCUGGAGGAGAGGAGCGCGACGCGUCUCGGACAAGUGUCGCGCGCAGACUAAACCUUCCGGCGCGGCUUCCGCGCGGCUUUCAGUACGCGUACUGUGCGCAGGGCUCGACGUGCGUCCCACGCCUACAGCCCUGAGCCGAAGACACGCAACCCCCGACUGAAGAUUAACCAGUCCGUCUUGGUACGGCCGCUGAACUGACACCUAUUAACCAAGUGGAAACAAUUAUUUCCUGCGUUGGAGUGAGAUACAGUUCUAUGGAACCAAAGAUUUACGCUUUGUAUUUGCUCGGGCAUUGCGGUUUUUAGCAAAGUUACGACGACGAACGUAGUUUAGGUUGGAGAAUGGUUUGAGUACUGAUGUUUUUUUGCGGAUUAAGCUUUUGCGGGAAUUCCAGUAAGGACUUGGCAGAUCUUAGAUGGAGAAUUCUAAAAGUCACAUAGAUUCACAGAAAGACCAACCACAAGGCCGAAUAAUGCGACGAAAGCGAUUCUGUUCAAGGGAAAUGGACUAAAAUGCAUGUCCCAUGGGGUUGUUUACCACAUUUGGCCAUAUGGUCGAUUUUAAAUAUAAUAGCCAGGUUAAAGAA